GAUGAACGCUGGCGGCGUGCCUAACACAUGCAAGUCGAGCGAUUCUCUUCGGAGAAGAGCGGCGGACGGGUGAGUAACGCGUGGGUAACCUGCCCUGUACACACGGAUAACAUACCGAAAGGUAUGCUAAUACGAGAUAAUAUGCUUUUAUCGCAUGGUAGAAGUAUCAAAGCUUUUGCGGUACAGGAUGGACCCGCGUCUGAUUAGCUAGUUGGUAAGGUAACGGCUUACCAAGGCGACGAUCAGUAGCCGACCUGAGAGGGUGAUCGGCCACAUUGGAACUGAGACACGGUCCAAACUCCUACGGGAGGCAGCAGUGGGGAAUAUUGCACAAUGGGCGAAAGCCUGAUGCAGCAACGCCGCGUGAGCGAUGAAGGCCUUCGGGUCGUAAAGCUCUGUCCUCAAGGAAGAUAAUGACGGUACUUGAGGAGGAAGCCCCGGCUAACCACGUGCCAGCCGCCGCCGUAAAAC
rnacentral:rRNA from 1 species